rnacentral:rRNA from 1 species
ACACUAUCAUUAACUGAAUCCAUAGGUUAAUGAGGCGAACCGGGGGAACUGAAACAUCUAAGUACCCCGAGGAAAAGAAAUCAACCGAGAUUCCCCCAGUAGCGGCGAGCGAACGGGGAGCAGCCCAGAGCCUGAAUCAGUGUGUGUGUUAGUGGAAGCGUCUGGAAAGGCGCGCGAUACAGGGUGACAGCCCCGUACACAAAAAUGCACAUGCUGUGAGCUCGAUGAGUAGGGCGGGACACGUGGUAUCCUGUCUGAAUAUGGGGGGACCAUCCUCCAAGGCUAAAUACUCCUGACUGACCGAUAGUGAACCAGUACCGUGAGGGAAAGGCGAAAAGAACCCCGGCGAGGGGAGUGAAAAAGAACCUGAAACCGUGUACGUACAAGCAGUGGGAGCACAGAGCAAUCUGUGUGACUGCGUACCUUUUGUAUAAUGGGUCAGCGACUUAUAUUCUGUAGCAAGGUUAACCGAAUAGGGGAGCCGAAGGGAAACCGAGUCUUAACUGGGCGUUAAGUUGCAGGGUAUAGACCCGAAACCCGGUGAUCUAGCCAUGGGCAGGUUGAAGGUUGGGUAACACUAACUGGAGGACCGAACCGACUAAUGUUGAAAAAUUAGCGGAUGACUUGUGGCUGGGGGUGAAAGGCCAAUCAAACCGGGAGAUAGCUGGUUCUCCCCGAAAGCUAUUUAGGUAGCGCCUCGUGAAUUCAUCUCCGGGGGUAGAGCACUGUUUCGGCAAGGGGGUCAUCCCGACUUACCAACCCGAUGCAAACUACGAAUACCGGAGAAUGUUAUCACGGGAGACACACGGCGGGUGCUAACGUCCGUCGUGAAGAGGGAAACAACCCAGACCGCCAGCUAAGGUCCCAAAGUCAUGGUUAAGUGGGAAACGAUGUGGGAAGGCCCAGACAGCCAGGAUGUUGGCUUAGAAGCAGCCAUCAUUUAAAGAAAGCGUAAUAGCUCACUGGUCGAGUCGGCCUGCGCGGAAGAUGUAACGGGGCUAAACCAUGCACCGAAGCUGCGGCAGCGACGCUUAUGCGUUGUUGGGUAGGGGAGCGUUCUGUAAGCCUGCGAAGGUGUGCUGUGAGGCAUGCUGGAGGUAUCAGAAGUGCGAAUGCUGACAUAAGUAACGAUAAAGCGGGUGAAAAGCCCGCUCGCCGGAAGACCAAGGGUUCCUGUCCAACGUUAAUCGGGGCAGGGUGAGUCGACCCCUAAGGCGAGGCCGAAAGGCGUAGUCGAUGGGAAACAGGUUAAUAUUCCUGUACUUGGUGUUACUGCGAAGGGGGGACGGAGAAGGCUAUGUUGGCCGGGCGACGGUUGUCCCGGUUUAAGCGUGUAGGCUGGUUUUCCAGGCAAAUCCGGAAAAUCAAGGCUGAGGCGUGAUGACGAGGCACUACGGUGCUGAAGCAACAAAUGCCCUGCUUCCAGGAAAAGCCUCUAAGCAUCAGGUAACAUCAAAUCGUACCCCAAACCGACACAGGUGGUCAGGUAGAGAAUACCAAGGCGCUUGAGAGAACUCGGGUGAAGGAACUAGGCAAAAUGGUGCCGUAACUUCGGGAGAAGGCACGCUGAUAUGUAGGUGAAGUCCCUCGCGGAUGGAGCUGAAAUCAGUCGAAGAUACCAGCUGGCUGCAACUGUUUAUUAAAAACACAGCACUGUGCAAACACGAAAGUGGACGUAUACGGUGUGACGCCUGCCCGGUGCCGGAAGGUUAAUUGAUGGGGUUAGCGCAAGCGAAGCUCUUGAUCGAAGCCCCGGUAAACGGCGGCCGUAACUAUAACGGUCCUAAGGUAGCGAAAUUCCUUGUCGGGUAAGUUCCGACCUGCACGAAUGGCGUAAUGAUGGCCAGGCUGUCUCCACCCGAGACUCAGUGAAAUUGAACUCGCUGUGAAGAUGCAGUGUACCCGCGGCAAGACGGAAAGACCCCGUGAACCUUUACUAUAGCUUGACACUGAACAUUGAGCCUUGAUGUGUAGGAUAGGUGGGAGGCUUUGAAGUGUGGACGCCAGUCUGCAUGGAGCCGACCUUGAAAUACCACCCUUUAAUGUUUGAUGUUCUAACGUGGACCCGUAAUCCGGGUUGCGGACAGUGUCUGGUGGGUAGUUUGACUGGGGCGGUCUCCUCCUAAAGAGUAACGGAGGAGCACGAAGGUUGGCUAAUCCUGGUCGGACAUCAGGAGGUUAGUGCAAUGGCAUAAGCCAGCUUGACUGCGAGCGUGACGGCGCGAGCAGGUGCGAAAGCAGGUCAUAGUGAUCCGGUGGUUCUGAAUGGAAGGGCCAUCGCUCAACGGAUAAAAGGUACUCCGGGGAUAACAGGCUGAUACCGCCCAAGAGUUCAUAUCGACGGCGGUGUUUGGCACCUCGAUGUCGGCUCAUCACAUCCUGGGGCUGAAGUAGGUCCCAAGGGUAUGGCUGUUCGCCAUUUAAAGUGGUACGCGAGCUGGGUUUAGAACGUCGUGAGACAGUUCGGUCCCUAUCUGCCGUGGGCGCUGGAGAAUUGAGGGGGGCUGCUCCUAGUACGAGAGGACCGGAGUGGACGCAUCACUGGUGUUCGGGUUGUCAUGCCAAUGGCACUGCCCGGUAGCUAAAUGCGGAAGAGAUAAGUGCUGAAAGCAUCUAAGCACGAAACUUGCCCCGAGAUGAGUUCUCCCUGACUCCUUGAGAGUCCUGAAGGAACGUUGAAGACGACGACGUUGAUAGGCCGGGUGUGUAAGCGCAGCGAUGCGUUGAGCUAACCGGUACUAAUGAACCGUGAGGCUUAACCUU